UCUAUUUGGUUUUUUCGGGGGGGUCUCCAUUUUUCCUCAAAAUAAUGUCACCAUAAAAAUGAUGUUCUAGCGCAGGGCGUGUACUCGCAACACACUCAGCUUCUAUUUUGUCCUGUUGACCAGCUCACUUGACUUGGAAUUGACAUGCACUUUAGCAAACCAUCACAAACAUGAACAUGCAGCCAUCACCACCGACA